GCCCGCCUAGCUCAAUCGGAUAGAGCGUCAGACUCUUAUUGAUAUAAGAUGGGGGUGAUAUCUGAAGGCUGCGAGUUCGACCCUCGCGGUGGGCU
rfam:Fistulina hepatica ATCC 64428 unplaced genomic scaffold FISHEscaffold_468, whole genome shotgun sequence.